rnacentral:rRNA from 1 species
UACGUAGGGUGCGAGCGUUGUCCGGAAUUAUUGGGCGUAAAGGGCGCGUAGGCGGCUUGGCAAGUCAAAGGUGAAAUCCCUCGGCUCAACUGAGGAACUGCCUUUGAAACUGCCUGGCUUGAGGCCGGGAGGGGGUAGCGGAAUUCCCAGUGUAGCGGUGAAAUGCGUAGAUAUUGGGAGGGCCACCAGUGGCGAAGGCGACUACCUGGCCUGUUCUUGACGCUGAGGCGCGAAAGCUAGGGGAGCAAACGGG